GAGGCAGAGGGAGAGGGAGAAGCAGACUCCCGGCCAAGCCAGGAGCCCGAUGUGGGGCUCGAUCCCAGGACCCCGGGAUCACGACCUGAGCCGAAGGCAGGCGCUUAACGACUGAGCCACCCAGGCGCCCCCUAAACAAAAACUUUCUUAAGUGUAAAUUUAAUAGCCUAAAAAUUUGUUGUAUAAUAUACGUAAUUCUUGACUUUUGUUUGUUCGACACAUGAAGUCCUAUGUGAAUGAGAUGCUAAACCCUGGACCGCCUCUCCUAGUGAAGUACUAAUCAGGUUAUCUGAACUCUGACCAGCUUCCUCCUAUCACAAUUUCUCAGUGACAGCAGUAUAGAAAGAAGUCAAAGAGGAAUACAACUCUUUAUAAUAUUACUUCAACUACAUUUUGGGAACCAGGUGUAUUUUCACCUUACAACAUUUAACCAUAUUUUAUAACAUUUAUUUCAAAAUGGGAAAUGCAUUCCAAGUUUCAGAGGACUAAUCUACAAGCUUUGGAAAUCUUCUUGAAGGGAAAGAGUGACUGUAUUUUUUUUUUUUUUCAGGUAUUAGAGGUGAGUAUAAUUCUGACUGAUUGGCUUCAACACAGUUGUAAACCAGGGAGAGAUUUUUAGAACUUGUUUACUUUAAAUCCUUCUGUUUACCUUGGGAGUUUUUAAUACCAGUAUUAGUGGGAUAGUUUCCAAUUUGAAAGCAGUGUCUCAGCUAAAACUAAGGCAGCUAGACAACAUUUAAAUUCUCAUUUAUAUUCGACUUUUCUUACUGAUUUUCUUUUGACCUCUUGGCCUGGGAGGAAGAAGAAAUCAAAAGGUGUUGUGGGCAGCUAGAGAAGCCCAUGCUGUGAGGCAGCUCUUCGUUACACAAAGGAAGGAAACUAACAUUUAUUGAUCUCUACCACAUGCUAGGCACUCUUAGAAGUUUUGGCCCAUAGAAGUAGGUGCUUUCCUUUAACGUCAUCAUCAUCAAAUAAUACUUGCAUAGUGUGGUAAAUUCAGAGUAUAGAAGUUAUAAUCUUAGAAAUAAGUGUCCUUCUUAGUGACUGUAAGAGAACCUAAAAUUGGCUCUUGAGAAAUAAGGACAGUUGUGAAAAUAUUAACAAAUUUUUUUAAAUCGGUGAAAACUAACCCAGACAAAACAAAAUUGAUUUCUUAUAGCUCAGUAAAGUUAAAUUUGUUACCCCUUUAUGAUAUUGGGUUAUUGUAGAAUAUUAGAGCAGGUAAUGUCCUAGAUACCCUUUAGAUUGCCAGUGCUAUCCAACAGAAAUAAUAUGUCAUAUAUGUAAUUUUAAAUUUUCUAAUAGUCACAUUAAAAAGGCAAAAAGAAACAGGUGAAUUAAUUUUAAUUGUAUAUUUUGUUUAACCCAUCUAUUCAAAUACUAUCAUGUCAACAUGUAAUCAACGUAAAAUUAUUAGAGAUAGUUUGUGUUCUUUUUUUUUUUACAUAAAACUUUCCAAAUCCAGUGUAUAUUUUACACUUACAGCACAUCUCCAUUCAGAUACUAAACUUUCAUUAGAAAUGCUUGACUUGCUCUUCUGAGGACGGCGUCCAUAGGCAUUCAGAAUGGUCCAGCGUUUGACCUACCGUCGUAGGCUGUCCUACAAUACAGCCUCUAACAAAACUAGGCUGUCCCGAACCCCUGGUAAUAGAAUCGUUUACCUUUAUACCAAGAAGGUUGGGAAAGCACCAAAAUCUGCAUGUGGCGUGUGCCUAGGCCGACUUCGAGGAGUUCAUGCUGUGAGACCUAAAGUCCUUAUGAGGUUGUCCAAAAUGAAAAAACACAUUAGCAGGGCCUAUGGUGUUCCAUGUGUGCUAAGUGUGUUCAUGACAGGAUCAAGCAUGCUUUCCUUAUUGAAGAGCAGAAAAUCGUUGUGAAAGUGUUGAAGGCCCAAGCACAGAGUCAGAAAGCUAAAUAAAAAAAAUGAAGCUUUUUUGAGUAAUAAAAAAAAAUCAGAAAGCU